rnacentral:ncRNA from 1 species
AUGCUGUAUGAAAGGAGAAAAGACUAGCACUCCCCUUUACAAGGAUGGAAAAGACCUGACAACACACAUACAGUUAAGGAAUUCCCACAUACUUCCUGGUAUCUGAACAUCAUUUUUUU